rnacentral:rRNA from 1 species
UACGGAGGGUGCAAGCAUUAAUCGGAUUUAUUGGGCGUAAAGGGCGCGUAGGCGGAAUUGUAAGUCAGACGUGAAAUCCUGGGGCUCAACCUCAGAACAGCAUUUGAAACUACAUUUCUAGAGGGUAGGCGGAGAAAACGGAAUUCCACAAGUAGCGGUGAAAUGCGUAGAUAUGUGGAAGAACACCGGUGGCGAAGGCGGUUUUCUAGCUUAUUCCUGACGCUGAGGCGCGAAAGUAAGGGGAUCAAACAGG